GUGUGUGUGUGUGUCUUUGUGUAUGUGUGUGUGUGCGCAUGUGUAUAGGUACACAUGUGUAUGUGUGUGUGUGUGUGUGUAUGUGUGUGUGUGUUACAGGCACACGUGUACGCAGAGGCCAGAGUAUGACCUUGUCCCUUUGGAGCUGUCCACCUUGUGUUUUGAGAGAAGAUCUCUAACUUGUCUGGAGCUCACCAAUUAGGCCAGCCUGGCGGGUCAAUGAACCCCAGACACCUGCUGUCGCUGUCACUCAGCACUGAUAUCAGAGACACACACCACCUUCCUGUGGCUUUGUUUGUGUUGAUGGUUUUUUUUUUUUUUUUUGCUGCCGUUGUUUAGUAGGUUCUGAGGAUCGAACUCAAGUCUUUUUGCACACUUGAACCAACAAGUGCUCAACUAGAAUUGGAUUGAAUACCCACUGUCUUCCCAACAGUGUGGACCCUGCGGAUGUUAACGCGUCUGAGGGCAGAAGAGACCAGCGUCUUCGUUCCCUCUGCCCCGUCUUCUUCAUCACAGACAGCAGGCCUUGACGUGUAAGUGCUCCAGCUCAACCCUGAACAUCUGUCUACUGGCUGGGACACGCGGUGAAGGCCAACACUCCAGCAUCACCGAGCUCAGUGUUCACAAACUGUGAGUAUAGUGUGGUUUCCUCGCAGAGCUGUGAUGCCAGCCUGAAGAGAUGGGAUGUGUGUUAAGCCCUCGCCGUAAAUGCCCACAAUCGCCACACACGCAUUCACGUGUGCAUACCCCGACACGCAGGCACGUAUACGCCGGUGACACUGGGCUGCUCUUUGGUGUCAGUGGACCAGGGCAAGCCCCGUAUGGGGACAGAUGGGUGGCAGCUGUCAUGUUCUCUAUCUAUACAGACGCUCCUCAAUUUAGGACGCCAGAUUUGUAGUUUCCUAACUUCGUGAUGGCGUGGGUUGCUACUUAUCUGCAACUCAUCUUGGGUGGAUGCUGUCUGAGACACUGGAGUCAGCGAGCAUGGGACUCCCUGUUGGCCAUAGAGCUACGAGGUCGGGUAACCGGUGUACUGUGUGUGCUGCUAAUAUGGGGUGCUCAUAAGUGAGGGGGUACGGUGGACAUCUUGACUGGCAGUAUUUUCAGCUUAUAAUUAAUUGAUUGGCAUGUAAACCCACCGUGAGUGGAGGAGUUACUGCCUGCAUUACUUUUCUCUUUGUAAAAUCUAUUUAUUUAUAUUAUCUAUCUGAGUCAGUGUCUCCAAUAUCCCAGGGUAGCCUUCAACACUUUUUGAACUUCUGGUCCACCUGCCUCCACUCUUUGAGCGCUGGGAUUACAGUCUUCUGUCCCCACGCUCCGCUAAUGAAUGGGGCGCUGGGGCUCGAACCCAGGGCUUCGCACUCGCUAAGUGUGCUCUACUACCAGCUGCGCUCUGCGUCCUCAGCCCCAGCACUGCCUUUCUCAGAGCUGGAGAACAGCGGGGCUGACAGACAACCCACUUCAGUGACGCGUCCCCUCCUGUCCGAAGCGACAGCUCAUCAAUGGGUUUCUCCGGUGCUUUGAACUUAGACAAUAUUUGCUGAAUGUCCGCCGCGCGCUCUUUGUGCAUCUGGCACCACGGAGGGCGAAGCCGACGUAGAAUAGCUCUUCACCCAAACGUCCACAGAAGCUGGAGGUCCUCAGCCGUGAAAACGCCAGCAGUUCCUGAAAGACGGAGACAACCCCCAGAUUGCAAACAGGACCCAGAAAAACAGGGCACAGGGGCAGCUGCCCCCAGAGCCAGGGUUUGAGUGCUUCCUACAGCGGAUAAAACUGUAGGGCAUAAGAACAGGGGUGCUGGAGCUAAGACCCUGUGCAUGGUGCUAAGAGCCCCCCCAAAAGCAGCACCAUCUGUGAAUGGGGAAAAGGUCCUCGGGAGAAGCUGGGACUUCAAGCAUAAGCCAGGGGUGUUUGUAAAUUAUAAACCAUCAACUGCGUGGCACAUUUUAUUUUUCGAGGCACUGGGGGUUGCACUCAGGGCCUCCCACAUCCUAAGUGAGCUGAUGAGUAAAGUCUUAAGUCUGACAGUUUCCACCAGCCUGGGCUUGGGUUGGUGUGGCCACUUCACAGAGGGCAACGCAGACCUGGCCCAAAGGGACGUUUCUGCAGCCUAGGCCACAAAGGAUGCCCCCGGAGAACAGACCCCAGAUUCAAGGGGAUCUCAUGACAACGAUGCGCAUGGAUAGAGACACGGCCUCAGGAGGGCCCAUCAGUGGACAGCUACAGUGGGACAGAGAAGGCACUGGGCCCGGUGGUGGGUCCUGGAGGAUGUCUGGAGUUACAGUCCUGCACAGUCCGCUCAGCAGCUGGCUGUGACCUCUGAUUCUAAGGGUAGGGGUGGCAGGAGAAGGUCUCUUCGAAGUAGCAGAGACAAAGGGUGACAAUAAUCUGGCCAAUGGCUGUCAAGGCCCAUAAAGAGGGCUCUGCUUCAUCUUGGCUCAAGGUCAGAGAGUUCGAAACUGUCCCUAGUAAGUCACAAAACCUAAAGGUCUAAGGCUUGGCUACUGCAGGAUGUCUUACCUAAAUAACAACAGACUUGGGCUGAGGUGUGGUUACUCUUGACCCUCUGGGUCAGCUAACAAGAAAUUGAGUCUGAGGUGUGGUUACCAAAUGCUUGGGGAGUUAAGGAAGAAAGUCUGUUUAUUCCUGUGUACAUGAUACCAUGUUCCCUCUUUUGGUUGGGAUAUUUAUGAACAUUGAAGAAUAAACUUGGGGCAUCCAUGUUCACUGGAUUGCCCUCCUGACUCUA